CCCCACCCCCCCCUCCCUCUCCGUCUCCCUCUCUCUUGCGCCCAGCCCUAAUUUUACUCUGUCUCUCUCUCGCAACGGCAACAGCACCGGCGUGGGCAGAUCUCCAGUCCAGGAGGCUUUAUUCUUUUGACUGUGUUUUGGAGGCAGAUAUGAAGAUCUCAAAUCAUCAGCAAAGCUGGCGGCGACACUAGCUUGGAGGUUUGCUCCCAACAAUGGCAGCAGCCUUGCCACUAAUGAUCUGGAGAGAUAUGGGGAUGCUAAACAUCAUGAUUUAGAGCCGCCAACUCCACAUUCACUUAUAAAAAUGGGUUCAAGAGAGUGUAGUAACAUGGAAGACCCACAUGGAACACUGGCUAGUGUUGCCCAAUGCACUGAGCAGUUGCGGCAGAAUUCUUCAUCUGUACAGGAAAAAGAGUAAUCCUUGAAGCAGUUGCUCGAGCUUAUUGAUACGCGUGAAAGUGUUUUCAGUGCUGUUGGUAGGAAUGGCAAUAGAAACCGUACCCAAUGGUUACCCAUGGAGAUCCUACCCGAAAUAAGUGGGUUUCCCCUAUUUUUUUAUCCAUCGGGUCAGUGGGUAAUCAAAUUUAAUUCCCCAUCGGGGAAUGGGGCGGGGAAUGGGUCAGGCUCAUCUCUCCGUAUGUUUUGACAUCCUCUCUUCACAGCUAGGGUUUUCUCACUCUCUCUCACCACUCCCACUCUCCCACUCCCACUCCAACUCCAAAUCAGAGUUAAGCAUCGAAAGCAGCUAGAGUUCCCCGGCGAUCUCGUUAGCGCUUAACACAGUUCUCCAGCGUGAUCACUCCAUUGCAUAAACAAGAGAAGUCUGCUCUGCAUUUCUCUGGUUGAAGCGAGGUGCACCUAUGGCACUUCAACUCUGAGGCGAGGCGACGUUAAUGAAGUGCUGUGGAGGUGGUUGAGGCGUGUGAGGAGCACUGAGCUACACACUUCUAUAAUUGUGUUUGAUUCAUUAAAGAUGAGAUAUCAACCCUUUGAUCUAAUGAAACCCAUUAUACUUUUAUGUGAUGGCUUCAUCCUGUUAAAGUCCCCAAAUAAAUAGAGAGCCUCAACCAUAAUCAACAGAUUGAAGACUAAUGCCUAAGAUUUUAUAUUUUGGCUUAGAUUCCAUACUUCUGUUUAUUUUUAUAUUUUAUCCUUUGGCGGUGAUAAUGGUCAAACAGUAAUUUGUAGCCUAUAUAUUUAUUGUUAAAUUACUUGGUUAAUUGUUUAUAUCAUUUACUUAAUUUUUUAAGUACUUUA